GAGAAUAAAAGGAGGAGUUCUGGGUGCUCAGCUCCCAAGUGAGUUCUUUCUUCCCUGCCACGUCGGACUGACCGGCUAACACCAGCUGCCCUCAACCAUGAAGCUGCUGAGAGCCCUUGUGCUGAUUGCCCUCCCGCUUUACUGCUUUGCUGGUUCUGGAUGCCCGUUUCUAGAGGAAGUGGUUAACAAAACAAUCAGUCCUGAAGUGAGCGUUAGUGAAUACCAAAAUUUUCUUCAGGAUUUUGUUUGGGAGACUGAGGAAGAAAAGGCCUUGGCUGAUGCGAAGCAGUGUUUUCUCAACCAGUCAAACGAAACUCUGCACAACUUUGCACAGAUGAUGCAAAUAAUGUAUUCCAGUAAGCCGUGUGCCUCUUUUUAACUUUCCCGGAGACCGGAGACCCCGAGGACUACAGAGAAUGGUCAGGAACUGACAGCCGGUGAAUAUAAACCACGACUUUUCUUCCUUCUUUCUCUUUUCAUCUAUAAACUGCAAGACAACUGUUGAAACCUCAAAUACAUUUUCAUUUCAAUAAAGCAUCUGCAAAUGGAAAA